CAGAGUGUGGCCUAGUGGAUCGGGCACCUGACUGGGACUCAGGAGACCCUGGUUCUAUUCCAGGCUCCUUUC
rnacentral:tRNA from 1 species